GACAGAGGUGCCGAGCGUUAGGCGGAAUCACUGGGCUUAAAGCGUGUGUAGGCGGACUUCUAAGUACCUUGUGAAAUCCCACGGCUCAACCGUGGAACUGCUUGGUAUACUGGUCGUCUUGAGCCACUUAGGGGCAGUCGGAACAGACGGUGGAGCGGUGAAAUGCGUAGAUAUCGUAAGGAAGACCAGUGGCGAAGGCGGGUCUCUGGACAGUUCCUGACGCUGAGGCACGAAGGUCAGGGGGGCAAACGGG
rnacentral:rRNA from 1 species